rfam:Paenibacillus riograndensis SBR5 isolate SBR5(T) genome assembly, chromosome: I
GAGACGGCAUCGGAAUCGAGCUGUACUCGGCAAGAAACCUUUUAUAUCAGGGAAUUUGCUUUUGGAUUCACCUUCUUAACUGUAUUUCACGGUUACGUUGGAUUCUGCUCUGAGCCGUAAGGACCGAGACAGAAGG